GGUACUAUGGCCGAGUUGGUCUAAGGCGUGGGACUCAAGUUCAUGGAGUUUAUCUCAUCUCGAAAGAGGCCUGGGUUCGAAUCCCAGUGGUACCA
rnacentral:tRNA from 2 species